AGAAGGGAGAAGAAGAAAAACAAGACAAGUCAAAAGCAAUGGGUGGGCUUUUCUCUAUUUUUAAAGAAAAGAAGGAUGUUGUCUGUACUGAAUGCAAAAAAAUUAAAAGAGCUCCAAUUGAUACCAAUCCAAAUCGUUUUGUUUGCUCCAGAUGUUCAUGGAACUGUAGUUAUAGUGAUGAUAUGGACAU